AUACACCCCGCGCAGCAACAUUGUUACAUGUUUGCGUUGGGGAAACGAUGUGUGACACCCAGGCAGGCGUGCCCUCGGCCUAAUGGCUUCGGGCGCAACUUGCGUUCAAAGACUCGAUGGUUCACGGGAUUCUGCAAUUCACACCAAGUAUCGCAUUUCGCUGCGUUCUUCAUCGAUGCGUCCUUGAUAGG
rnacentral:misc_RNA from 1 species